CCCUCUUCUGUCCAUUGCCUUCUUGUUUUCCUCCCAGGUGCCUUCUGUUUUGUUUGCUCCAAGCCAUCUCAUGUCUCUUCUGACACUCGGGAUCAACUCUGCCAUGGUGCUCGACUGUGGAUAUAAAGAAAGCUUGGUGCUGCCUAUUUAUGAGGGAACUCCAAUUCUGAGCUGCUGGGGUUCUCUGCCUUUGGGAGGAAAAGCCAUCCACAGGGAGCUGGAAUACCGGCUG